GGGGAGGGCUACCUGCAGUCGAGCGGAACGAGUUAUCUGAACCUUCGGGGAACGAUAACGGCGUCGAGCGGCGGACGGGUGAGUAAUGCCUAGGAAAUUGCCCUGAUGUGGGGGAUAACCAUUGGAAACGAUGGCUAAUACCGCAUAAUACCUACGGGUCAAAGAGGGGGACCUUCGGGCCUCUCGCGUCAGGAUAUGCCUAGGUGGGAUUAGCUAGUUGGUGAGGUAAUGGCUCACCAAGGCGACGAUCCCUAGCUGGUCUGAGAGGAUGAUCAGCCACACUGGAACUGAGACACGGUCCAGACUCCUACGGGAGGCAGCAGUGGGGAAUAUUGCACAAUGGGCGCAAGCCUGAUGCAGCCAUGCCGCGUGUGUGAAGAAGGCCUUCGGGUUGUAAAGCACUUUCAGUCGUGAGGAAGGUAGUGUAGUUAAUAGCUGCAUUAUUUGACGUUAGCGACAGAAGAAGCACCGGCUAACUCCGUGCCAGCAGCCGCGGUAAUACGGAGGGUGCGAGCGUUAAUCGGAAUUACUGGGCGUAAAGCGCAUGCAGGUGGUUUGUUAAGUCAGAUGUGAAAGCCCGGGGCUCAACCUCGGAAUAGCAUUUGAAACUGGCAGACUAGAGUACUGUAGAGGGGGGUAGAAUUUCAGGUGUAGCGGUGAAAUGCGUAGAGAUCUGAAGGAAUACCGGUGGCGAAGGCGGCCCCCUGGACAGAUACUGACACUCAGAUGCGAAAGCGUGGGGAGCAAACAGGAUUAGAUACCCUGGUAGUCCACGCCGUAAACGAUGUCUACUUGGAGGUUGUGGCCUUGAGCCGUGGCUUUCGGAGCUAACGCGUUAAGUAGACCGCCUGGGGAGUACGGUCGCAAGAUUAAAACUCAAAUGAAUUGACGGGGGCCCG
rnacentral:rRNA from 1 species